rnacentral:rRNA from 1 species
UGCAUGUCUAAGUAUAAACGCUUCUAUACUGUGAAACUGCGAAUGGCUCAUUAAAUCAGUUAUAGUUUAUUUGAUGGUUCCUUACUACUUGGAUAACCGUAGUAAUUCUAGAGCUAAUACAUGCAGAAAGUCCCGACUUCUUGGAAGGGAUGUAUUUAUUAGAUCCAAAACCAGCGCGAGUUUCCUUCGGGGGCUCGGUUGCAUGGUGAUUCAUGAUAACUGCUCGAAUCGCAUGGCCUUGCGCCGGCGAUGAUCCAUUCAAAUUUCUGCCCUAUCAACUUUCGAUGGCAAGGUAGUGGCUUGCCAUGGUGACAACGGGUGACGGAGAAUUAGGGUUCGAUUCCGGAGAGGGAGCCUGAGAAACGGCUACCACAUCCAAGGAAGGCAGCAGGCGCGCAAAUUACCCAAUCCCGACUCGGGGAGGUAGUGACAAUAAAUAACAAUGCUGGGCUAUCGUAGUCUGGCAAUUGGAAUGAGUACAAUCUAAACCCCUUAACGAGGAACAAUUGGAGGGCAAGUCUGGUGCCAGCAGCCGCGGUAAUUCCAGCUCCAAUAGCGUAUAUUAAAGUUGUUGCAGUUAAAAAGCUCGUAGUUGGAUUUCGGGGCAGCCCGGCUGGUCCGUCGCGAGGCGAGUACUGGUCGGCCGCCCUUCCUCUCGAAAGCCCCGACUGCUCUUCNCUGCAGNGGNC